rnacentral:rRNA from 1 species
UACGUAGGGUGCGAGCGUUAAUCGGAAUUACUGGGCGUAAAGCGUGCGCAGGCGGUUGUGCAAGACAGAUGUGAAAUCCCCGGGCUUAACCUGGGAACUGCAUUUGUGACUGCAUGGCUAGAGUGUGUCAGAGGGGGGUAGAAUUCCACGUGUAGCAGUGAAAUGCGUAGAUAUGUGGAGGAAUACCGAUGGCGAAGGCAGCCCCCUGGGAUAACACUGACGCUCAUGCACGAAAGCGUUGGGGAGCAAACAGG